AAAUCUAUAUCCUUCUACACUUUCAGGUAUGUCAUUUUUCAGGAGAAUAGUAGGGGGUUUCCACAGAACCCCUCUGAUAUCUUAUGUCAGAGUUCAGGUGUCAAAGGGACCCAGAUAGCACCAAAAGCUUCUGGUUCUGAAGGUCAUCUCACAGGUCACGGAGUUCAGGAAAGAGGGGAACAGCAGCCAUGCCCUAACUCCUUUUCUCCUCUCAAGUCCGUCCGUGCUGGCCUGGGGGAAGUGUAAUGUCCACUCAGUGCCAGGGCUUGGGCUGCUUCCACCCAAUGGGGAAAGCUACAAUUUCUGUUUUUAAGGCAGCGGCAUCUGGCAGGAGUCAGGUAGGACAGGGCCUGCCUUUGGCUCACAACCCAGAAUUAUUGCUGUCAUCUCCUAGAGGGCAGGGGUGGGGCAGGAAAACAUCCUCCUCAAUGUUUACUUCUCAGAGUCCAUUCAACACCACAUCCUGGCAGGCAGGUCUCACAGGGUGGGCAGGGAAACUGAACUCAAGGGAAGGUGGGCUACUCCACCCUUAGCAAGAAGCAAGCACACUGUGUUCAGAGAUCCCAAGGUCAUUGCAGGUGAGUACUUUUUAUGGUGAGAAUCUCAGUUGUGAAUUUUCUGCUUGGAGGAAAUAAAAGUCUCACAAGCAUUGGGAUAGCAUGAGAAAUGUUUCUCCAAGAACAACAUGUGCAAAUUCAAGAUUGUCUCCAAUGCACUUAACCUCAGACUCGGCCUAGUCUUUCUGUAGAGGGCCCAUUGUAUGACCUGAAAGGAGCCAAUUUAAAAGGCCCAUUUCUUGCUACUUCUAGCAAUAGCUGAUAUAACUGUAGUUGCUGAGUAUUUUUUAUUGAGAUAGUCGUAUUUUCUUCUUGCAAUAUGUUUUCCUCUUUUUUUCCCCCAGAAAGCCAGCUUGCCCUUUGAGCCCCUCCCUUGUCUCAGGGGAGGUUUGCGUUAUGGGUACAUGAAACAAAAAUUAUCUAAUGUAGAUGAGAAAGGCAAUGUCUUUUUCUGACUCGGGGGCUGUGCUUCUUGGGAGGAUUAUGCCAGAGAGAUGGGAGAAAAGUGAGUACUCUUUGAGAAGGUGCCUCCCAAGACAGGAGCAAAUGGAAAUCUGCAUAGGAGAGGUAAGAUUCACUCCAUGGACCAAGGAGACAGGAAGGAAGGAGACAGGACUGAGGAGUUUGGACCCUCACAAAGAGUUCUGCCUUGGCUAUAAUUUCUCUGCCCUCACACAGCAGGUAAAAUAGUGGGGAUACCAGAUCAAUGCUAUUUGGACAAUGGAUGUAUCUCAGCAAACCCAGUGUGGAGCUGAAGUUCUCUGAAGAAGUCACAUCUCCAUUAAAGAUUCUGAAGACCGACAUUGACUGAGUACAACAUCGUGAUUGAGGAGAGAUGAAAUGCUGCAGGUCAAGAGCCAAAAUUAUCUUGGGCUGUCUUCGGCCUUUCAAUAGCUACUUUCAACCUCUGUAUUUGACCUAACAUUCUUAUGACUCUUAACGUAAGACUACUGGAAGUUAUGCCUAAGCUCAGCAGACCUCUGACUUCCACAAACCCUAAAGCUAAGACUUCUAUGAGAUAAUAUCUGAAACCCACAGGAAAGGUAUCCCCGCAUUACUGGAAUCCACCUAAAUAAUGCCCUGACCCAUGUAUUCGGUAAUUGCAUUGAUUUAUGAUUUCCUCUUUUCCUGUGACUUUAAAUGUUCGCGUAACCUCUUUCAUGGUGGAGUAUGUUAUUCAGGGCCAUCUGAAUCAGUGUUCCCAGACCUUGGUCACUGAUAUUUGGCUCAGAAUUCUCUCUCUCUUAUUUCCUUUGAAACAAGAUCUGUAUUUUGUAUUGAUGCUAGAAUGAUCUGAUGUUUGAUUUUUCUAUGAUCUCAGGAAGGAAGACUCUUAUCAGACAGAAAAAAAAAAUUCUACCCACUGAAGUUUGGUCUUGGAGGCCUGCUAAUUAAACUGGCAAAAAGAUACAUUCAGAGGCUGGCGCUGUAGCUCAGUGCAGAGCCCUUGCCUAACAUGCCUGAGGCACUGGGUUCAAUAGUCAGCACCACAUAAAAA
rnacentral:lncRNA from 1 species